rnacentral:lncRNA from 1 species
UUAUCUUCCUAAUUCGGUCCCUACUUGUAUUUGUGGUCAUAUUAACAUCUUUUUAGCACUCGGACUGUGUAGUCAUUACCAUUUGAGCCAUUUUAUUUCUGUGUUUUACAAAGUUUUCAAAAUGAAUAUCAUCUUUUAGUUGAAUAUCAGAGUGCGCAACGAACAAGACUAACAAAUAAUAAGAAUAUUAUUAAACAAACUGAGAAUGCCGAAACGGCUACAAAACCCUAAGAGACUACAUUGUGGCUAACUUGUUCUCUAAUGAAUAACAAAGCACCCUAUUUAUAAUAAAUUAACCCUAAUCUCUAACAAAACCUAAUUCUAACGGGCUAAUCCCAUAAAAUCAAACAUUCAAAUAAACCAAAAUACUAAUAUUUUCAACACUUUUUAAUUUGACAUAGGGGAACAAGAAUCUAAAAAAAUACCUUAACAUUUCUUUGGCGGUUCAACUAUAUGCAUGUAUACAAUUACUUCUAAAAAGAAAAGCAAAACAAGAUGAGGAGAAAGAGCUAUCUUUUCUUACUGUCAAACUUUUUAUUUUAAUGGUGGCAAUUUGUACCAUUCUGAUGCAAGCUAAGUCACUCUCUAGUUCAUUUCUACAACUGACAUUUUGGUACUAUAUAUGCAUAGAUUUUGUGCCAACAAAUUGGUUAAAUUCGACGAAAAUAUACCACGAGUAUACUAGAAAAUUGUGUAGGAGAUCUGUUGAGACCCAUCAUUGUUCAUAUCAAGCUGAAGGGCAGAAGGAAAAAGAAAACCGUUAGAAAGAUGACAAGAAGGGGCUUCUACUCACAUCAAGCAACACAAUGAUUCUUCUUGUGAAGGACAAAGUUAGACAGCAUUUUUUAUGUUCUAACAAAAAUGACUUGUACUGGUGUCUUUUACUUGAAUUAAGUAACAGCAUGAUCCUCACCAAAAACGAGAGAGAGAGAGAGAGAGAGAGGAGACGACAAUAAGCUAAAGCCAAAAUGUUGUUGCAUAGAAACAGUCAUAAUAUAUAAUUGGUACCAAGAUUAGUUAAAAGACGUUAUUAUGGAGAAAAGUAUGCUAAAACCCUACAAUUACCACGAUUGCUAAAGCUGAACCAAGGCCAGCCUUUGUCUUGACUCUCUAUGAAUGCAAUGUGUGUGCGCGUGUACGGGCAAAGCUUAAGGAUUCCACAUUGAGAAGCUGAUUUUCUCAAGAAAAAAACAAUUGCCUUGUUGCAUAACUACCUUGACAAGACCACACUGUUGGGGCUUAAAAAGACUUCACUCCUUUGGAGAUGUUUAUCUCACAAAGAAGAAUGUAAUGCAGCGGAAUUGAUAGGCAAGAGAAAGAAAGAACACUCAAUGUAUUACACAAGAUUUUUAUUCACUCAUGAACUUAGUACAAGAGGAAACACUCAAACACUCUUAGAAGCUUUGUUGCUUCUUCUCACUUCUCACUACUUGCUCUCUUGGUUGUUUCAAAUGGUGUGGAUGUCUUCUCCUUUUAUAGGCAUGGAUGGAACCUUGGAGAAGCAUGGAAACAUCAUGCUAGAUAUAUCUAAAUAAUUCCACUACCUUCCUAUGCUAGAAUUAUCUACACUAAUCUUGUAUGUUGGUGGAAUCCUCACCAUUCUUCUAGACUCUUCCACCAACUUGAACUUUGCUAGAAUUCUCUAGCAUGUGUAUGGAUCUUUCUUUGAGCAUGGGCUAGAUCCAUUAUCUUUGGGCCAAGACAAGAUUACAAUUCAACACACAUAAGAACCUCCUCCAUAGCAAACUUCGUUCGAUCCAAUGCGGUAACAGAAUUAACAAAGUUUCUACUCUUGGUUACUCCGCACUUCCAUGAAGAAACACUCGUUACGAAAAGCACUUCCUAAAAAAAUAUAUGUUGACUGCUACAUGAGAAGAACAGCUUACAUGAUCUGAUAUAAGUUGCAUAUUUAAAA